rnacentral:rRNA from 1 species
AACUAACGCUGGCGGCGUGCCUAACACAUGCAAGUCGUACGAGAAAGCCGGCUUCGGCUGGUGAGUAAAGUGGCGCACGGGUGAGUAACGCGUGGAUAAUCUGCCCUUAAGUGUGGAAUAACGUACCGAAAGGUGCGCUAAUACCGCAUAAUGCCUGGCAACACAAGUUGUCCGGCCAAAGAAGGCCUCUGUUUACAAGCUUUCGCUUCAGGAUGAGUCCGCGUACCAUUAGCUUGUUGGUGGGGUAAUGGCCUACCAAGGCUGCGAUGGUUAGCUGGUCUGAGAGGAUGAUCAGCCACACUGGAACUGAGACACGGUCCAGACUCCUACGGGAGGCAGCAGUGAGGAAUAUUGCGCAAUGGGGGCAACCCGUGACGCAGCAACGCCGCGUGAGUGAGGAAGGUUUUCGGACUGUAAAGCUCUGUCGAGCGGGAAGAAGUGUACCAUGGCUAAUAUCCAUGAUAUUUGACGGUACCGCUAGAGG